GCCCCCCUAGCUCAGUUGGUAGAGCGUUUCCAUGGUAAGGAAAAGGUCACCGGUCCGAUUCCGGUGGGGGGCUCGA
rnacentral:tRNA from 5 species